AAUUGGGUCUUGCGCAAUGGAAACCUGCGAACCGUGUCAGGUUGGGAACAAAGCAGCACUAAGCGGAAUUUUCCAUGUGCCGCAAGGUUACCUGGUUUUA
rfam:Firmicutes bacterium CAG:534 genomic scaffold, scf157